CGGGACGGGUGAGUAAUGCUUGGGAAUCUAGCUUAUGGAGGGGGAUAACUACGGGAAACUGUAGCUAAUACCGCGUAGUAUCGGAAGAUGAAAGUGUGGGACCUUCGGGCCACAUGCCAUAGGAUGAGCCCAAGUGGGAUUAGGUAGUUGGUGGGGUAAAGGCUCACCAAGCCGACGAUCUCUAGCUGGUCUGAGAGGAUGACCAGCCACACUGGGACUGAGACACGGCCCAG
rnacentral:rRNA from 1 species